AUACCGAGGGUGCAAGCGUUAAUCGGAUUUACUGGGCGUAAAGCGCGCGUAGGCGGCUAAUUAAGUCAAAUGUGAAAUCCCCGAGCUUAACUUGGGAAUUGCAUUCGAUACUGGUUAGCUAGAGUGUGGGAGAGGAUGGUAGAAUUCCAGGUGUAGCGGUGAAAUGCGUAGAGAUCUGGAGGAAUACCGAUGGCGAAGGCAGCCAUCUGGCCUAACACUGACGCUGAGGUGCGAAAGCAUGGGGAGCAAACAGGAUUAGAUACCCGCGUAGUCC
rnacentral:rRNA from 1 species